rnacentral:rRNA from 1 species
UACGGGGGGGGCAAGCGUUGUUCGGAAUUACUGGGCGUAAAGGGCGCGUAGGCGGCCUUCUAAGUCGGACGUGAAAUCCCUCGGCUUAACCGAGGAACUGCGUCUGAUACUGGAUGGCUAGAGGUUGGGAGAGGGAUGCGGAAUUCUAGGUGUAGCGGUGAAAUGCGUAGAUAUCUGGAGGAACACCGGUGGCGAAGGCGGCAUCCUGGACCAAUUCUGACGCUGAGGAGCGAAAGCCAGGGGAGCAAACGGG